CACGGGGGGAGCAAGCGUUGUUCGGAAUCACUGGGCGUAAAGGGCGUGUAGGCGGUUAAGUAAGUGGGAUGUGAAAGCCCCCAGCUCACCUGGGGAUCUGCAUUCCAAACUGCUUGACUUGAGUAUGGGAGAGGAUAGGGGAAUUCCUGGCGUAGCGGUGAAAUGCGUAGAUAUCAGGAGGAACACCGGUGGUGUAGACGGCUCACUGGACCGUAACUGACGCUGAGACACGAAAGCGUGGGUAGCAAACAGG
rnacentral:rRNA from 1 species